rnacentral:rRNA from 1 species
GACGAACCGUGCGAACGUUGUUCGGAAUCACUGGGCUUAAAGGGCGCGUAGGCGGGCACGCAAGUCAGGGGUGAAAUCCUCCGGCUCAACCGGAGAACGGCUUUUGAUACUGCGUGCCUCGAGGGGGGUAGGGGCAUGUGGAACUUCCGGGUGGAGCGGUGAAAUGCGUAGAUAAUCAUGAGGAAGACCAGUGGCGAAGGCGGGUCUCUGGACAGUUCCUGACACUGAGACACGAAGGCCAGGGGAGCAAACGGG